AGUUCCAUAGCGUAGUGGUUAGCGCACUCGCCUCGAAAGCGAGAGGACCUGAGUUCGAUUCCUGGUGGAGCAA